rnacentral:rRNA from 2 species
CACGUAGGGGGCAAGCGUUGUCCGGAUUCAUUGGGCGUAAAGAGCUCGUAGGCGGCUCAGUAAGUCGGGUGUGAAACCCUCAGGCUCAACCUGGGGACGCCACUCGAUACUGCUGUGGCUAGAGUCCAGUAGGGGAGUGUGGAAUUCCCGGUGUAGCGGUGAAAUGCGCAGAUAUCGGGAGGAACACCAGCGGCGAAGGCGGCACUCUGGGCUGGUACUGACGCUGAGGAGCGAAAGCGUGGGUAGCAAACAGG